AACUUAGGAGUGCACCUAUUUGAUAGUCAAUUAUGGAGAUACAGACAAGUGGGAAGCCCAUUGACUCGCUAUUGGAGAAGGUUCUUUGUAUGAAUAUUCUGUCCUCGGACUACUUCAAGGAGCUGUAUCGGUUAAAAACGUACCAUGAAGUGAUAGAUGAAAUAUACAAUCAAGUUGACCAUGUGGAGCCAUGGAUGACUGGAAAUUGUCGAGGGCCGUCAACUGCUUUCUGUCUUCUGUACAAAUUUUUUACCAUGAAACUCACCGUCAAACAAAUGCACGGUCUAUUAAAGCACAAGGAUUCUCCUUAUAUCAGAGCGAUUGGAUUUCUCUAUUUGAGAUAUGCUGCUGAUCCAAAGACUUUAUGGAAUUGGUUUGAACCAUAUAUUAAAGA
rnacentral:misc_RNA from 1 species